CCUACGGGUGGCAGCAGUGAGGAAUAUUGGUCAAUGGACGAGAGUCUGAACCAGCCAAGUAGCGUGAAGGAUGACUGCCCUAUGGGUUGUAAACUUCUUUUAUAUGGGAAUAAAAUGUUCCACGUGUGGGAUUUUGUAUGUACCAUAUGAAUAAGGAUCGGCUAACUCCGUGCCAGCAGCCGCGGUAAUACGGAGGAUCCGAGCGUUAUCCGGAUUUAUUGGGUUUAAAGGGAGCGUAGGCGGAUUGUUAAGUCAGUUGUGAAAGUUUGCGGCUCAACCGUAAAAUUGCAGUUGAAACUGGCAGUCUUGAGUACAGUAGAGGUGGGCGGAAUUCGUGGUGUAGCGGUGAAAUGCUUAGAUAUCACGAAGAACUCCGAUUGCGAAGGCAGUUCACUGGACUGCAACUGACACUGAGGCUCGAAAGUGUGGGUAUCAAACAGGAUUAGAUACCCUUGUAGUC
rnacentral:rRNA from 1 species